rnacentral:rRNA from 1 species
GGCUCAGGACGAACGCUGGCGGCGUGCUUAACACAUGCAAGUCGAACGGGAGUAUUGAAGAAGCUUGCUUUAGAGAUACUUUAGUGGCGGACGGGUGAGUAACGCGUGAGGAGCUGUCCUAUGCAGGGGGACAACAGCUGGAAACGGCUGCUAAUACCCCAUAAGCCGAGAGGUAAAAGGAUCAAUCCGGCAGAGGAGGUACUCGCGUCCUAUCAGCUAGUAGGUGAGGUAACGGCUCACCUAGGCGAAGACGGGUAGCCGGCCUGAGAGGGCGAACGGCCACACUGGAACUGAGAUACGGUCCAGACUCCUACGGGAGGCAGCAGUGGGGAAUAUUGGGCAAUGGGGGGAAAAACCCCCUGACCCAGCGACGCCGCGUGGGUGAAGAAAUCCUUCGGGAUGUAAAGCCCUGUUGUAUGGGAAGAGCGGAAGACGGUACCAUACGAGGAAGCCCCGGCAAACUACGUGCCAGCCGCCGC